AGAGGUAUAGCUGGGUCAAAUGGUGUUUCUAUUCCAAGUUUUCCAAGGAAUCUCCAUACUGCUUUCCGUAUUGGCUGCACCAAUUUGCAGUCCCACCAGCAAU
rnacentral:pre_miRNA from 1 species